rnacentral:rRNA from 1 species
UCCUCGCCAGGCGGUUUCUUAAGUCUGAUGUGAAAGCCCCCGGCUCAACCGGGGAGGGUCAUUGGAAACUGGGGAACUUGAGUGCAGAAGAGGAGAGUGGAAUUCCACGUGUAGCGGUGAAAUGCGUAGAGAUGUGGAGGAACACCAGUGGCGAAGGCGACUCUCUGGUCUGUAACUGACGCUGAGGAGCGAAAGCGUGGGGAGCGAACAGGAUUAGAUACCCUGGUAGUCCACGCCGUAAACGAUGAGUGCUAAGUGUUAGGGGGUUUCCGCCCCUUAGUGCUGCAGCUAACGCAUUAAGCACUCCGCCUGGGGAGUACGGUCGCAAGACUGAAACUCAAAGGAAUUGACGGGGGCCCGCACAAGCGGUGGAGCAUGUGGUUUAAUUCGAAGCAACGCGAAGAACCUUACCAGGUCUUGACAUCCUCUGACAAUCCUAGAGAUAGGACGUCCCCUUCGGGGGCAGAGUGACAGGUGGUGCAUGGUUGUCGUCAGCUCGUGUCGUGAGAUGUUGGGUUAAGUCCCGCAACGAGCGCAACCCUUGAUCUUAGUUGCCAGCAUUCAGUUGGGCACUCUAAGGUGACUGCCGGUGACAAACCGGAGGAAGGUGGGGAUGACGUCAAAUCAUCAUGCCCCUUAUGACCUGGGCUACACACGUGCUACAAUGGACAGAACAAAGGGCAGCGAAACCGCGAGGUUAAGCCAAUCCCACAAAUCUGUUCUCAGUUCGGAUCGCAGUCUGCAACUCGACUGCGUGAAGCUGGAAUCGCUAGUAAUCGCGGAUCAGCAUGCCGCGGGGGAAUAACG